rnacentral:lncRNA from 1 species
GUAUUAUCUGUCUAUUGGCAGCUGCUCUACCUAACUAUCUCUCUAGUAUUAUCCCUCUAUUGGCAGCUGCUCUACCUAACUAUCUCUCUAGUAUUAUCUGUCUAUUGGCAGCUGCUCUACCUAGCUAUCUCUCUAGUAUUAUCUGUCUAUUGGCAGCUGCUCUACCUAACUAUCUCUCUAGUAUUAUCCCUCUAUUGGCAGCUGCUCUACCUAGCUAUCUCUCUAGUAUUAUCUGUCUAUUGGCAGCUGCUGGGAACCAGAGCCAUAUAUACAUGUGUAUACAUAUAGUACGGCUCUGUUGGAUCUAUUACAACAUAAUCAUCUGUCUGAUAUGAGCCUGGGGUUAGUCAGUAGUCUGUAGUCUGGGUUAGUCUGUAGUCUGGGUUAGUCAGUAGUCUGGGUUAGUCAGUAGUCAGUAGUCUGGGGUUAGUCAGUAGUCUGGGGUUAGUCAGUAGUCUGGGGUUAGUCAGUAGUCUGGGUUAGGGUUAGUCAGUAGUCUGGGUUAGUCAGUAGUCUGGGUUAGGGUUAGUCAGUAGUCUGUCUGAUUAGGAACCUUCAGGAGGAAGUAGUAGCCAGCCUUCCUGUUUUGUACUGUGUAUCUUAACUACAACCAGCACUAUGCUGACCCAUGUCGCCUGCUGCCUGCCUGCUGCCCUGGUUUGUCAGCAUUGUCUGUCCAUCAUUCUAUCUAGAGCCAUCACUAUAACACUUGCUGUUGAAGUCACAUACACUACAUGGCUAAAAGUAUGUGGACACGCCUUCAAAUUAGUGGAUUCGGCUAUUUCAGCCAGACCCGUUGCUGACAGGUGUAUAAAAUCGAGCACACAGCCAUGCAAUCUCCAUAGACAAACAUUGGCAGUUGAAUGGCCUGUACUGAAGAGCUUAGUGACUUUCAAUGUGGCACCAUCACAGGAUGCCCACCUUUCCAAUAAGUCAAUUCGUCAAAUUCGUAGGUAGGCCACACAAGCUCACAGAACGGGACCGCCGAGUGAUGAAGUGCGUAAAAAUUGUCUGUCCUCAGUUGCAACACUCACUACCAAGUUCCAAACUGCCUCUUGGAAGCAACGUCAGCACAAGAACUGUUUGUCAGGAGCUUCAUGAAAUGGGUUUCCAUGGCUGAGCAGCAACACACAAGCCUAAGAUCACCAUGCGCAAUGCCAAGCGUCGGCUGGAGCGGUGUAAAACUCGCUGCAAUUGGACUCUGGAGCAGUGGAAAAGCGUUCUCUGGAGUGAUGAAUCACACUUCACCACAGUCCGUUGGACAUAUCUGGGUUUGGCGGAUGCCAGUAGAACGCUACUUGCCUGAAUGCAUAAUGCCAACUGUAAAGUUUGGUGGAGGAGGAAUAAUGGUCUGGGGCUUGUUUUUCACGCGUCGAGCUAAGCCUCUUAGUUCCAGUGAAGGGAAAUCUUAAUGCUGC